UUGGCUGAGUACACCCAGUACUUAGAGGACACAGGGGACGACUACUCCGCCACCAGAUCGUUAAGCUUCAUGUCCCGUUCCAGCACCCUCGUAUCCCUGAUCAACAACCUGUGUGUACCGACCUUCGCCUGUUCUCCGACUCACCCCGUAAGCCUGACUCCCUUGACACUUCUGCCUGCUUUGAACGUUCACCUGUAUACCUGACCUGCCGUGUACCGACCCUCGCCUGUUCCCGUACCAUCCAAGGUUGGAGGUGUGCUGGAGCUUAUGGCAGCUGACUCUGGGUGAGAGGUGGGGUUCACCUUGAACUGGUUGCCAGACAAUUGCAGGGCAGGUUAUAACAGUUAAAGUGUCAAAGAAAAAAAAUAUUCUCAAGGCCUGUUGCCUUGACAUCUAAGGUUAUGAAGUCCUUUGAAUAUCUUGUGCUGGACCACGUCAAGAGCGUCACAGGUCCCCAACUGGACCCACUGCAGUUUGCCUACUGAGCUAACAGGAUGGGAAACUACGCAAGGAUCCUGUUCAUGGACUUCAGCUCUGCAUUCAACACAAUCAUUGCCAAACUCCUCACCUCCAGUCGUCUCCAGCUCAGCAUCUCUUGCCACCUGCCAAUGGAUCUUCAACUUUGUGACGAGCUGGUCACAGGAGAUGAAGACAGUAAAUCCAGCAAAACCAUAUGAGCUGGAUUCCGACUGUAUAUACAGCAGCCAACUACCCAGAGUGUGGGAUAUCAAAACCAGGACAUUGAAAAAUUCAUCAGAAGUGGUUCUGGCAAAAUUAAAUUUGGAGACAAGCUAGAACAGUUGCCUUCACAGCAGUGUUGUGAGAAUGGAUGCGAGCGGUUUCUGAGCAACUGUGACUGAUGGCGUCUGUUAGCAGCGACAGCCGCAGAGAGGACGUCUUGUACUGGCGGCGGGGGGAAACUGAACCUUCCGGAAACGAGUAUGGACUCAGGGUGUCUGCUGAAAUGCCAGGACAAGCAAGGCCAAUUGACAGUCCUUCAGUCUCCUGACGCUUCUAUCGCCUGCACAUCUCACUUUUUGUGAUUAAUUUUAACAUGAACACUCUGCCUUCCAUCCAUUUACUUCCUAAAGACCUUCAAACAUGCCUACUUUCCACUUUUGGAGUCAGAUAUUUUUUGAGUAUUUUACAACAUGAAAUCUACAAAAUCAUUCAAAAGAAAACUAUAUUUUUCUGGUUGACAAUUCAUAAAAUUACCAGAGGGGCCACUCAAAGUGUGUUGUUGGGUCUUUUGCAACCCACCCGCCGUCAGUCCAUCCUCCCUGAUGUGUUGAUUUAACAACAAUUUAUGACGUUUUUUAGUCUGUUUUAAUAGACAGCCAUCAGGGAAAAAGAUGCAUUCUUCAAAAGAGACAAUUGUUAUUGCAGCAUUUUGUGCAUGUAUGGCUCAUGCGCUGCUGAACUUCAUUUAUUUUACGUCAGGCAACCUGUUGGACAGCUAAACGGUCUCGGGAGGCUACAUAGAUUACACUUUUCAGCAUUUGUGAUUAAGAUAUAAGAGAUAAAUAUCCCAGGCAGUACAAUGUAGACAGAGUGAGUCAUUUCCUAUUAUUGUGGUGUAUGUGCAUGCAUUGCUCCAUGUGUGUGUAUUUUACUUCAGGCACCUUGUUUGGCAACUAAGAGAUCUUCAGAAGAGGUUUUGUCUAUGCUAGGUAUAUGUUAUUUCUGUGCCAUCAUUCCCGCUAUGCAAUUUUUGUUGCACCACCGUGUGUGACAGAACUGGAUAUGAAUCGAGCAUUCACUGAUUUAAAACAAAAAAAUCAAAUUCUGAAAAAUACUGCAAGAUUUUAAGGGAGCUGAUAUGCUUAAUCAGCAUUGUGUCAUCACCGUGAGUAGGGGCUUGGGCGAAAACUAUUAAAAAAAAAAAAGUUACAUACUGUUAAGGUUAAUUAAAUUUAACUUAAGGUUGAUUUAAACAGAGGUUUGUGGUUUCACAGUUUUGUGUCCAGCCAGUACAGAGCAGAUUGCAUUUGAUUCACUGGUGUUGUUGUCCCAUCAAUGUCUGAAUUCUCACCCAAAUUUAAUGGAAGCAAGUGAAUGGUACCAAUCCCGAUGAUAAAGGAGGCCAUACACGAACAAAGCCAUCCCAUGAAAACACAACAUCUUGCAGGGCUGAGAGUAAAUUCAUUGAAGCAAUUGUUUUACAAUAAUUUGCACCAGAGAUUCCCAAAUUCAUUUGUGCUGAGCUACUGGGAAUUAGUUUUAAUAAAUCUUUUGGGGGCAGCAUGCUGUGGAGUGUUUAGUGCAUCUUCAUAGUCGAGGGAGGUUGGUUGGUUCCUCCCACACUAUUAGGUUAAGUGACAGGUGCAAAUAAAUGAAUGGUCAAACAAAGCAUUUGAACGAAUGUGGGAAAAACAAAUCUCUAAAUCACAGAUUUUUUUUUUUUCAUCUACAUAUUACGUGUAACAAAUGUUUGUUAAAAUGUAUUUCAAAACAAAACAUUUUAUUUUAUUUUGUUCAGCACUAAUGUCCAUUUUGUUUCCUUUUCAUCUGGACAUAUAAUAUAAACGGAGCAGUACAGACAUUAUCCUGUAAGAAAAUGAAACCAUGGUCACUUGCCUGAUUAAUGCAUGCAUAUUCAUCUUCCUCACUCCCUUGCAAAUCAUUUCCCCACUGUUAUUCUCUUUGUCUCUAUUGCACAAAAUUGUCUGGAUUCAUGCUAAGGAAACUCUAGCUGGAAUUGUUAGGGACAGAGUGUACUGUAAGAUGAAAGAAGUUUCACUUUAAAUUGCUUUAUUACCAACCCAGUCAAUCUGUUUCCUCAACCUGCUUGUUUACUUGUCAAAACAUUUUUGAGAAAUCCUGAUGAAGCAGAAGAGUGGCAGACAUAGGCAGCAUCAAAACUAUCUCCCCUUGGGAAGCCGCUGCAGCUGGUUGCAGAGUAUAACAAAUGUUGCACCUCCGCCUGAUCAAGAUCUGCUUCGUUGGAGUAUCUGACAUCUCCUCCACCGUUUUCUUAAUUGACAUGCUUAUGCAUGCUUCUCUGAAUAUCAAAUACCUGUCAUAACAUACUAGUGUUAUUGUCGUGGCAUCAGGAAACUGCCACUGUUAAUGGGUGUCUUUUGAGAGGUUCAUUUGUCAAAUGCUGCAUCCAAAGGGUGCAACUCCUUUCUUAAUAGAAAACUUUCCUUUACUUCCUGAAGAGAAGUGACUUAGGACUUAUUAGAACAUGUUCUACUAUCUAUGAAUGUGUGUUCAUUACGAUCCCAUCAUAUGAGAUUUCUAGGAUAUGAAUGGCACUGGCACACAAUGAGCUUGUUGUGCAGUGUUGUAAAAAUAC